rnacentral:piRNA from 1 species
UUUAAAAAUUAAUCAAAUUUC